UCUAAGAUGUACCAAUUAAUGGGAUGACAAUUGUACAAAACCGUGAAUCGACAAUCGACUGCAAGUCACUAAGAUGAUCGAUGAAACAGUUUGUAUCAGUUCAAUUCAAUCGUGCUCACCUGGUCACAGUUAGCCUCAACGUUUACUCGCGGUUUCGACGCAUGCGCUAAUAUUUUAAAACCAACAAGAAGAUCAUCUUCAGAAGAUGACCUCAACAAAUCAAUAUUUAAUUUCAUCCAAUCGAACCACACUUUUAUUGCUGGUACGUAAUUGGUCAACACAAGCACGUGACUAUUAUCUCUCUCUGCAGCAUACAAGAAAGAAGGAAAGAGGCUUCAUUAGUGUUUCAAUCAAAAUCCUUCUCCAGGUGAGAGUUUAAACAAAAAUAAAAUAAAGAACAUUCCAAAAAUGGACAUUGUGCUAACCAAUAAUAUUGACUAUUGACCAAUACACAUUAAAUUCUUAAAUCUGUAUACUUCGAUCCAAAUAUGGUUCAAAUUUUGACGAUCGUCAGAAUAAUGUACAAGAUAUUACCUUGUAGUACAGAGUUUUUAGGAUUUUUGUGUAUUUCUCAAUAUCAUUGAAAUGGACAAUGUGAAAUGUAUUUUUUCGA